GAAUAGGUUUCAUCUUCCCUGUGAUGAUUCACGAUUCUUCUUCCAUUUUCUUCGACCAUUAUUUUCAUUCCUAAAUCCUUCUUUGACCAUUUUUCUCUUAGCCAUAGUCUCACUACCCAUUCACAAGUUUCGUUGUCGUCAUCGUCGCCACUGACCUUGCCCCUGUCCAGGUUCGUUAUUCGCCUCAGCCGUUGUCCAUUCCUCCUCAUAACAAGCCUUCGCGAGCACCUCCUUGUUGCACCUCACCACAAGUUCAAAGUAUUGAGUGUUUGCCCUCGUUUAGGUCUUCUUCUGCGGUUGGACGCUCACACACUCUAGGUCUUCAAUCUUGUUCGCUCACCGUUGGGAUUUAGCUUUGUGAUUUUUUUAUUGAACAUUUGCUUGGAUUUAGGAAAUAACAAUUGUGAUCGUUUUCGUAAGUACAUAGCAAGGUGGAGCAAAUUUUGUGAACUCUGGAUACACGAAGGGCGAUGGAUUUGGAGCUAAGAUUAUUGGCACUUUUGUUCUUGUCUGCAUCGUUUUCUCUACAACUAAUGCCAAGAGAAGCGCUAGAGACUCUCGUGUUCCUGUUUUGGCUCCACUUUCCAUUGGAUUUGUUGUGUUCUUGGUCCACUUGGCCACCAUUCCCAUCACAACAACUAGUAUGGAUCUGAUGAGGCAUAAAGCCGGAGCGUGAGCUAUAUGGGAGAAAAGAUUUAUCCGAUGUUUUUAAGUUUGUGGGUUUUAAUUGAGUUGUAAACUUUUAUUUUAUGAGACUUUAGAAUUGUAAUGG